rnacentral:tRNA from 1 species
GGGGUCACUGCUCAAUGGUAGAAUACCUGCUUGUUAUGCAAAAGGUCCCAGGUUUGAUCCCUGCCAUCUCCA